UUUGGUCUCUAGAAUCUUCUUAAGCAAAUGAUGCUAACAGUAACAUUGGUUUUCUUUCUUUAGGAUUUGAACACCGUUCCCACCUGCCCCAAACUGGCAACAUCUCUCAGGAGACCUUGCUUUCUCCUGGACCUCCAACAUCAUGGUUUCCCAUUUCAUGGGUUCUCUCAGUGUCCUGAGUUCCCUCCUGCUUACUGGAUUCCAGCUUGUCUACCCACAGCCCUCCACUGAACACCGAAAGGUAAGCCAUGGCUGUUCAGAAGCUUUCCUUGUUUCUCUUUGGAGGUGAGUCACAUGCCCUGGGAGGAAGCAUCAUCACAGAAUACUCACCAGUCCUUCCAUCUCACCAAAGCCCUUGGAGUUAAAAGAGUCUGCUUUGUACUGGUGUCAGUUUGAAUGGAGCAGUGGAGGAGAGGUCAAUGAAGAGACUGUACAAAUGUAUGGAGAGGGCUUAAGGAGAUUUCCAAAGAAUGGUGGCAUACCAGCAUGAAGCUUUUACCCCCUUUAGACCUGAAGGGGCAAGAGGGAGGGGUGAUUAGAGAGAAAGCUGUAGCUAUAGCUGUGGCUGGAACUAUGCGAGAG
rnacentral:lncRNA from 1 species